AUUGAACGCUGGCGGCAGGCUUAACACAUGCAAGUCGAACGAGUGGCGGAUGGGAGAGUAAUGCUUGGGAAUCUGGCUUAUGGAGGGGGAUAACUACGGGAAACUGUAGCUAAUACCGCGUACCAUAGGAUGAGCCCAUGCAGGAUUAGGUAGUUGGUGAGGUAAAGGCUCACCAAGCCGACGAUCUCUUGCUGGUCUGAGAGGAUGACCAGCCACACGGGGACUGAUACUCGGCCCAGACUCCUCCGGGAGGCAGCAGUGGGGAAUAUUGCACAAUGGGGGCAACCUGACGCAGCCAUGCCGCGUGAAUGAAGAAGGCCUUCAGGUUGUAAAGUUCUUUCGGUAGCGAGGCGUUGACUACAGAAGAAGCAACGGCUAACUCCGUGACAGCCGCAGCGGUAAUUC
rnacentral:rRNA from 1 species